AGAAAUAUGUCUGAAAAAGAGUUACUUUGAUAGAGUAAAU
rnacentral:tRNA from 1 species